rnacentral:lncRNA from 1 species
UCCAGCUCAGGGGUUGUUUCUUAUGGAAUCCAACCUAUGACUGUUGACGCCAGGAGUGGUCCUGGGAAGGAGACUCUGAAAAUUUUGGAGCUGGCUGGGAAUAAGAGUCCUGUUGCUGUUGGAUAUCUGAGAGCAACCUUCUGCCAGGAUUUGCCCUGCCCACAGGCGUUAGCAUGGACUUGAUGACUGCGGUGUGGCUUUUACUUUCUCAAUUUUCCAGAGCUCAUACUCCUCAAACUCCAGAGGAAUAAGAUGUAA